rnacentral:rRNA from 1 species
GACGUAGGGGGCCAGCGUUGUUCGGAAUUACUGGGUGUAAAGAGCUCGUAGGCGGUUUGUUGCGUCGGCUGUGAAAUCCCGAGGCUCAACCUCGGGUCUGCAGUCGAUACGAGCAAACUAGAGUGUUGCAGGGGAGACUGGAAUUCCUGGUGUAGCGGUGAAAUGCGCAGAUAUCAGGAGGAACACCGGUGGCGAAGGCGGGUCUCUGGACAGUUCCUGACGCUGAGGCACGAAGGUCAGGGGAGCAAACGGG